rnacentral:sRNA from 1 species
GGGUGAAACAAAAGGUACGCUGGAGUUCCGACCUUUCAAAAGAGAGUGUUGAACAACAAUAAUUUUUGGAAACGCUUUACCGGGGUUAUCCGUUUGUUGGAA